rnacentral:rRNA from 1 species
AUUGAACGCUGGCGGCAUGCCUUACACAUGCAAGUCGAACGGCAGCACGGGAGCAAUCCUGGUGGCGAGUGGCGAACGGGUGAGUAAUAUAUCGGAACGUGCCCAGUCGUGGGGAUAACGUAGCGAAAGCUACGCUAAUACCGCAUACGAUCUAUGGAUGAAAGCGGGGGAUCGCAAGACCUCGCGCGAUUGGAGCGGCCGAUAUCAGAUUAGGUAGUUGGUGAGGUAAAGGCUCACCAAGCCGACGAUCUGUAGCUGGUCUGAGAGGACGACCAGCCACAAUGGGACUGAGACACGGCCCAGACUCCUACGGGAGGCAGCAGUGGGGAAUUUUGGACAAUGGGCGCAAGCCUGAUCCAGCAAUGCCGCGUGCAGGAUGAAGGCCUUCGGUUGGUUAACGUAG